UACGGAGGGUGCAAGCGUCAUCCGGAUUCACUGGGUUUAAAGGGUGCGUAGGCGGGUAAGUAAGUCCGUGGUGAAAUCUCUGAGCUUAACUCAGAAACUGCCGUGGAUACUAUUUGCCUUGAAUAUUGUGGAGGUGAGCGGAAUAUGUCAUGUAGCGGUGAAAUGCUUAGAUAUGACAUAGAACACCAAUUGCGAAGGCAGCUCACUACACAAUCAUUGACGCUGAGGCACGAAAGCGUGGGGAUCAAACAGG
rnacentral:rRNA from 1 species